AAACCGAUUACCUCGUAUUAUAUCGACGUAAAUUAUACAACAGAAGGAACCUUAAUCUGCACUUGCAUCGUGCCAGCAAGGACACUCUUAUUCUCCAACACUCACGGUGCAUUGUUUCAUCAAGACUGAAGCAUGGAAACUUUGUUAGAGAAAGAUCGUGCCAUUAAGGGAAGUGGCCGGUUCCUGCAACUGGUGGGAGACAUCACGAGCGGUACUACAGGUACUGGGUUCAGGUAGAUUCAUACACUCACAUCACCGGCGUGCUGACGUUUCAUUGCUUGCUCCACCACCCGGACACGAUGGUUGAAAACAUAUUGGACCAGGAAGGACAACCUGAUAAUAACAGGGAAAUCCUUCGCUUGAAAAUGUUGGAUGCUGUUCUGACAGAGAGUAAUGAAGAACUUGCAGGAAACCUUGGUGGGUUUCUAAGGAAGGCUGGGGAUGAAAUGAAUGCCGAGUACCUGGUUAGAUCUAAUACAGAGAGGUGGACAAACGCGUUUGGAUUCCAUUUCAUCCUGCACUGCUUGACCACUUAUGCACAUCUGUUGGAAUGCGUAUGAAAAUCAAGGGGAACAUCGCUGGCAGAAAAUCAAAAAACUCCCAGGCACUUGUAGAGCGACAGUGCUGUAAAUGCAGUCCGGUUUUGGAAAAAAAAGAGAGCACACGAUUCUGCAUAAAGAGGAAGUACUUCUGUAAAUAAUCCGGAACUAAAAAGGGAGAUAAACUGUGUGAAAAAGGACAGUAACGAUACGUCCAUAUCCGUUGGACUCAGAGAUAGGCGGUCUAAAAGUUACU